UUUUGUAUUUGAACAAGGCUGAAGCAAGGGACAAGAUAUGCAGGGCUAUACAAUAUGGUUCCAAAUUUGUGAGUAACGGAGAACCUGGUCCUGCCCAGAAUGUAGACAAAACAACCAGCUUGGCACGGAAAGUUUUCCGACUAUUAAAGGUUAGGCCAUUUUCAUUUAUUGCCUCUAUCUCCUUUGAUUCACAUGUUUGAAGAAGGGAUUGAGAAAAACUAAAUGAAGAAAAGUCUCAGAAACAUGUUCUUGUUCAGUGAUAUCACUUCUCGAAAAGAAAUUCCGUUGCAUUAAAUAUGUUGCAAAAAUGUCUUUAAUAGUCCCCUCCCCACAGUACACAUUGCCUCUAAUGAUUUGCCACAUUAAUAUUCAGUUUGUCAAUGGUCUGCAAUCUCUGAUAAGUCCCACCCCACCGGGGACUCCCCUCUCCCUAACUCUGUUGGGAAAGGUAUGAAUUUUCUAAGUCAUUCCACCUUUUUGUUUUAAUCUCUUUUGAUUAUUCUUUCUAAUAUCGUAUUUAAUGCCUUUUUCAGUCUAAGGAUGCGUUAAUUGCAACGUUCUUGUUUCUUGACCAAUUUGUGUGGCUUGGCAGAACAGGCAUCUAUCAGGUAGGAAAGUAAUGUUUUUCUUAAGCAUCCAGUAUUUGUUCACUUUAUUAUCACGUCAUCGGGAAGUAUAUAAGAAUUUGAUUGUCCAAAUGCAGAAUAAAGAACGUGUCGAAAGAAUUGGACGGAUAUCUCUUUUCUGUUGGCUUGGUUCUACGGUCUGCACCACUUUGGUUGAGGUUUGUUUGUUGCUUACCUUUCCUCAAUACAGCCAACACCUAUGCAUCAAGAAUGUCAUCUUAGAACUUCACUCUUAAUCUUUGCAUUAACAUGUUUUACUAAUUUUAUCAGAUAGGGGAGCUUGAGAGACUUUCUGCAUCGAUCAAGAAGUUAGAGGAAGAACUCAAGAACAGUAAUAAAUACGAAGUAUAUGUUCUUUAGAGUUUCAAUUUUUGGUUUACGAUAUUCGGGAGUGUGACACCAUUUCUUAAUUUUAUUUUAAUAUUUAUGUGAAGUUAUUACCUGUGAUGCAGAAUGAGCUAUACCGCGCCAAACUGAAAAAGUCAAAUGAUAGGACUUUAUCACUUGUCAAAGCAGGCAUAGAUACAGUGGUAGCAGUUGGACUGCUUCAACUGGCACCCACGAAAGUCACUCCCCGAGUUACUGGAGCCCUUGGAUUUAUUUCAUCUCUAAUAUCUUGCUAUCAGGUACCUGCUAGUAACAUUAUAGUUCGUUUUCAUGUUUUACUGAGUGUAUUGAAUUCCCUGAAAAAUUGUGUAUCUCUUCUGAGCAUUCCUACUAACGAACAAGAACAAAAAAUUAUAGAUAAAACUAGUUCAUUAUUCUUCUCCAGAAGGGCUGGAACUGUGUCAUCAAUGUUUAGGAAAUCGAUCAAGGAUACACAUGAAACCAUAGAUGAAUUUUUAUGCAUAUAUGAUACGAGGAAUAUUUACGUCUAUUUUUUGUUGCAAUUAUUCUUGAGUAUAAGUUUUCACUGACAAAGAUUUCAUUUGUGCAAUGCAGUUGCUUCCUCCCCCAACCAAGUCCAAAACAUUGUGAAGAUGGAAGAACAAUCUGUUUUAUCAUAUGUUUCAAUGCAGUGGAAUAAUUAUAUGAAUUUGUCAGGAAAUUUGGUGUGAGCAUUGAGCAAUUUAUAGACUGCUAGUAUGUGUUUGAAAUCUCAUCAUAAUUAGUGCCAAUGUUGUCACACUCAAAAUUUCUAAGUAGAAAACAGUGUUUGUUAUGAUAUAUCUACCACCAUUUAAUUGACAAUAAUUAAGCAUUUUUUAUUUGGAUGCAAACAAACUUUAAGAACGUGACAUUUUUAUUUUAAUGUGAUGUGAUAAUCUUUUUUGUUAUGGGCUAUUUCGGACAAAUGGAGCUAAUGCAGCUAUAAUUGUCGUUAUGGUAUUCUUGAGCAAUCAUUAAAAAAAAUAAAAUCUAUAGAUUUUGUAGCAUGCGCUAUGGAUGCAAGUUUUAUCUUAUGUGACUGAACGGUGUUGUAAUAAUGGGCUUUUUAGCGUACACAUGAUUCAUUAUUUGUGGGCUAGGCCCGCUCUGUGUUUAAUUAGCUUUUUUCCUUUCUUUUGUAAUGUUAUGGUGAACAGCAAUGUUCUAUGGAGCAUGGAAUGCUCUUUCUUUUCUUUUUUGCUCAGCUCAGUGGGAUACUCCUAAAACACUAAAAAAGCUAUGUGACUAGCUAGAACUGGUUCUGUAAAAAAAAAUUAUUGGUGAAUGGGGAUUGACCUUAAAGCAUUGUUUGGUAUGCAUAAAUAGAGUAAGAGAAAGGAAAGGAUGUGAGGAUUAACCCAUUUGCUCCUUUAGUAGUAUAUAAUAAAGUAUAAUAUUUAUACACUACUGUAAUAAUUUACACAUAGUACAUUUACCAUUCAUUUAUAUUAUUUUUUAAAGAUUAAAUAAAAAUUAAAUGAUGAAUGAAUGAUCAUAUAUGAAACUCAUACACUGUCAAUGCAUACAUUUAUCCUUUAUUUUUAUUUGACUUUACAUUUUUUUCCACCUCAGGCAUAAUGGAUUGGGAGGGGAAAACAGAAAUUAAAUUCCCAUCUCAUAUAAUCAUUUUAUAACGAGUUUAUAGAGUUUAAAAAGGUAACAAAGUAAUUUAGCACAUUUAUUUACAUAUUUUUUUAUGGAAUAAAAUACAUAAAUGAAAAUAUCUCUCUUUUCAAUGAGAGAACGGAGAAGGAAUUUGACUACUCUUCCAUUCUCUCAUCAUGAAUGAUUAGUUGGAAGUUGAUAUCACUUUUUGGAAGUUGAUACCAUGCCUAGGUUUAACUCUUCCAAAAGUAUUUUUUAAUACACAAAGACUGGAACCUGAAAUAAUGUUUAAGGGAAAUCAAAUGGUAACACUUUUCCUUUCCUAAAAUGUGUCAUUCUAAAAUAGUCCCUAAUAAUAUUGACAAUAUUUAAUAAAAAAAUCUUAAGUUGUAAAAUAAUUACACCUAAUUUUUUAGAUGAGACAAAAUAUUGAAUAUUUUUUGUUUUAUAUAUGCGGAGAACCUGGUCCUGCCCAGAAUGUAGACAAAACAACCAGCUUGGCACGGAAAGUUUUCCGACUAUUAAAGGUUAGGCCAUUUUCAUUUAUUGCCUCUAUCUCCUUUGAUUCACAUGUUUGAAGAAGGGAUUGAGAAAAACUAAAUGAAGAAAAGUCUCAGAAACAUGUUCUUGUUCAGUGAUAUCACUUCUCGAAAAGAAAUUCCGUUGCAUUAAAUAUGUUGCAAAAAUGUCUUUAAUAGUCCCCUCCCCA
rnacentral:lncRNA from 1 species